CAAAGUUGAGAGUUUUAAGGAGAAACUCAACAAAUUUAUUGAAAUUUCGCUUAGAAGUAUCACAUCGAGUAGAUGAAAAUUACUUGUAAACCAACUUCCUUAAAAAAUUUGAAGUCUCACAUCGGUCAGUGCAAAGACAUUCGUUAUUCAAUUCGCUUAUAAAAUAAGGAAUUUGGAUUGAAAGCAUAUCGCCCUAAAACACAAAUCCUCUUUAUUAUAAAAGAGAGAUAGAAUUCGUCCUUGAGAAUAAAGGGAAGAGAAGAUCUCGAGGCACAUGAAGGUUGUAGAUCAGGAGUCAGGCUUGAAGGUCUUUUUAGCUUUAGGUUGUCAUAUUAGCUUGAAAGGGAGAUAGAAAUUCGUCCUUGAGGAAAACAGGAAGAAAAGAUCUCUAGGUACAUGAAAGUCGUAGAUCUGGACUCGGGGUUGAGGGUCUUUAGCUUCAAGCUAUCAGAUUCACUUUAAAGGUUUGAUUCAAUUGUUUUUCUUGUGUUAUUUUGUAAGCAUCUAAUAAUUAUUGCAUUUUAUCAUUCUUUAUAGUAUUCGUUUGUUAGUAGCGUGGUCUCGUGGAUUUUACUUCUCACACUUAAACACAAAUCCUCUUUAUUAUAAAAGAGUGAGAAUAAGAGGAUGAGAAUAUCUCCAAGCAUAGGUUGUAGAUCUGGACUCGGGCAUGAAGAUUUUUAGCUUCACGCUAUCAUAUUAACUUGAAAGGUUUGACUCAAUCGUUUCUCUGAUCUUAUUUUGUAAGCGUCUAAAAGUAGUUACAUUUCACUAUGCCUUAUCGUGUAAGUUUAUUAGUGGUUUGGUCUCGUGUAUUUUACUUCUCAAAAUAAAAUAUAGAUUCUCAUUAUUAUAAAAGGGAGGUUGGAAUUCGUACUUGAGAAUAAGGGGAAAAGAAGAUAUCAAAUAAUAUGAAGGUUGUAGCUCUGGACUCGGGCUUGAAGAUCUUUAGCUUUAGAAUGCCAUAUUAGCUUGAGAGGUCUGAUUCAACCUUUUUCUUGUCUUAUUUUGUAAGCGUCUGAUAGUUAUUGUAUUUUAUCAUGAUUUAAUGUAUGUGUUUAUCAGGGGCUUGGUCUUGUGGAUUUUCCUUCUCACACUAAGGCACAAAUCCUCUCCUCUUUAUUACAAAAUAGAGAGAUAGGAAUUCUUCCUUGAGAAUAAGGGGAAGAUAAGAUCUCCGAGAAUAUGAAGGUUUUAGAUGAGGACUCGAGCUUGAAGGUCUUUAGCUUCAGGUAGCCAGAUCAGUUUGAAAGGUGUGAUUCAAUCAUUUUUCUUGUCUUGUUUUGUAAACAUCUAAAAUUUAUUGUAUUAUAUCAUGUUUUAUAGUGUAUGGAGAUCUUAUGUUACUCUUACUCUAUAGGAUGUUUUCUUCUAUCUCUCUUUAAUUAUCAAAAGAAUUUUAGUUUUGGUGUGAUUUGCUUUUAAUCUUAACUCUUUAUUUUACAAUAGAUUUAGAUAUUAAAGGUUUUUACACUAUCGUAUGUGAAACUUCAACUUUUAUAAAUUAGUUUACAAAUUAUUUCAAUCCACUAAUAUGUUACUUCUAAAGGAAACCCCAAUUAAAGGCAAAACCAACAAAUUAAUUGGGGUUUCCCUAACAACUCUCACAUUUUGUGGAUGAAAGUAGUUUAACAAUAAACUUCUUAUAAAAUCUGAAGUCCCUCAUCAGGCAGUGUAGAAAUAUUUACUAUCCAACUCUCUUAUAAAAUGAAGAGUUGAGAUUGAAAGUAAACUACACGUAAACAUAAAUCUUCUUUAGCACAAAACAGAAAUCCUCUUGGCGAAUAAGGGGAAGGUAAGAUCUCCAUGCAUAUGAAGACUGUAAUCUAAGCUUGGACUCGAAGGUUUUGUACUUCAAGCUAUUAAGUUAUCUUGAAAAGUUGAAUUCAACCACUUUACUUGAGUUUUUAGGGAGCGUAUGAAAGUUCAUUGUAUUUUAAACCUACUUUAUGUGGAAGAUUUUUACCGACA